rnacentral:piRNA from 1 species
UGUCCUGUUUUGUAUUGUUUUCCAGGA